rnacentral:rRNA from 1 species
GACGAACGCUGGCGGCGUGCUUAACACAUGCAAGUCGAACGGGCUCUGUCUGGCUGUGUGCUGGGGGGGGUUAGUGGCGAAGGGUUGAGUACUACGUGAGUAACCUGCUAUCUUCUUUGGGAUACGCCUUGGAAACGGGGUCUAAUACUGGAUAUUUCUGUCUGGUCGUAGGGCUGGGGGGGGAGAGGUUUUUUCGGUGGGGUAUGGGCUCACGGCCUAUGAGCUUGUUGGUGGGGUGUUGGCCUGCAAAGGCGUCGACGGGUAGCCGGCCGGCGAGGGUGACCGGCGGCACUGGGACUGGGUUACGGCCCCGACUCGUACGGGCGGCAGCAGUUGGGGAGAUAGGACAGUGGGCGUAAGGCUGAUGCAGCGACGCAGCGUGGGGGAUGACGGCUUUCGGGUAGUAAGCCUCUUGCGACGGGGGAAAAGGCACUGCUUUGUGGUGGGGUUGAGGGUACCCGGUGAAGAAGCGCCGGCUAACUACGUG